rnacentral:piRNA from 1 species
UGGCCUUGCAGACUUUGAAUCCUUUU